rfam:Poecilia formosa, whole genome shotgun sequence.
AAAACGGUCCUUUUAAGGGCCACACACAUGUUCUAACGAGCUGGAU